CGGCAGGCCUAAUACAUGCAAGUCGGACGGGAUUGGAGAGCUUGCUUUCCAUGAGAGUGGCGCACGGGUGCGUAACACGUAUGUAACCUACCUUCUUCAGGGGGAUAGCCUCUCGAAAGAGAGAUUAAGACCGCAUAAUAUUGUAAUGUGGCAUCACAAAACAAUCAAAUAUUUAUAGGAAGAAGAUGGGCAUGCGGAACAUUAGCUAGUUGGUAAGGUAAUGGCUUACCAAGGCUACGAUGUUUAGGGGAUCUGAGAGGAUGGCCCCCCACACUGGUACUGAGACACGGACCAGACUCCUACGGGAGGCAGCAGUAAGGAAUAUUGGUCAAUGGACGGAAGUCUGAACCAGCCAUGCCGCGUGCAGGAAGACGGCCCUACGGGUUGUAAACUGCUUUUGCAGGGGAAUAAACCCCGAUACGUGUAUCGGGCUGAAUGUACUCUGAGAAUAAGGAUCGGCUAACUCC
rnacentral:rRNA from 1 species